CGCGGCAUGGCGGCGGGAGGGCGGUGAGCGGGGCCGGGCGGAGCGGGUUCUGUCCCGGGAACGGGGUCGGGCUUCAGUCCGGGGGCAUCGAGGGGCUCUCGGGAGAGGAGCUCGCGGUGCUGCCGGUCACCGAGAGGCAGGUCCCGGCUCGCAGGCGGGCUGCGUGGCCUCGCGAGAGCUGUGGGUGCCGGAGCGCAGGCCGGGGCGAGCGGGGCGGCUCCCAGGCGGCGCCGCUGCUGCCUUGGGCAGGGCGGUGGCAGCCCCGUGCUCCGUCGUGCGGCGGGAGCUCUCGUGUUUUGUCGCUCUUCGUUGGUACGUGGAGGGGAAACUGGCGUCUCGCUUGCUCUCGUUGUGUUCUUUCCAUCGUGGCGGGCCUUGGAGAUGCUGUCGGGAAGCGCAGGGCUGCGUCCGGAUGGGAGGUUUUGCUUUUGGUCUCGCUCUGUGGAGUUUUGCUUAAGGCCCGGAGCGCGACAGCACGAAGCUGUGGGUGGCGGGGCCUGAUCUUGCAGCAAGGGUGGCGACAGCAUCGUCUCGCCACAUGUGGUGUUACCCGGCAAAGCCUCGAGGCAGAGCCUGAGCGCCCCGCCCCCACCCCCCCACCCUCGAUUCUGUGGUGCGGCUCUGGCUGUGCUGUGCUGUGCAGCAGGAAGGUAUCCUGUUGUUUGCCAGUAGCUCACUCACUGUAAAAUCCUGAUAGUGACAUGGCACAGUUAAGAAAUAGUCCAAGUCAGCAUGUGAGGUGCUGUCCUUCAGAGGCAAUAUCUACAGUGCCAGCAAGUGCUGCGGGGCACGGGGGCAGCUUCCUCUCAGGGAAGGAUGUGCAAGUGUAAAGCUGUGAAUACAGGCUAGGGAUGCUGCCUUCAAGUAAGUGCAGAGGGCGGUUGUGCCUGAUGCCAAGCCGUGACUCCCCGGUGUGCUUUGGUCCUUGUAACGCUGAACUGCAGCCAGCUGGUUUGCCUAAAGUUUAGGCUGUGAACUGAAGCAGGUUUGGGAGCCUUUUUCGAGUGGGGACAAUUUUUGUUGCUUUAGUUGAGUGAUAUGAGCAGAAGGAGUGGCGCUCAUGCAGAAUGCAGGCACAGUGUGCUGUGCCAUCUGUGAGCUUGUGGCAGAGGCAGGUGGUGAAAGUGGCCAUGGCUGCUGCUUGGCAGCCUACGUGAGAGCUGUCAGUGCUGGUCACGUGGCUGGGAUUGGUCGUGCCUGAAACAUAAGUAAAGUGGGAAAAAGAAGGGUGACUUGCAGGCUAUGAGGAGGGGAUUUUGUGUUUUCAUGGAGUACAAAUCCGUUCCCUUUUCUGAUGUGGUUUUGUGCGUUGGUGUUUCAGGUGUCUGAAAGAGGACUCCCCGUUGGAAUUUGUACCGAGAAAACCCCAGGUGAGGAAUGGAGCAACAUGCCUUGGUGCUGUGUUGGACCGGGGAGUGGGCAAGGAUGAAGGUUUGUAAAGAUGUACUUGCUCUGGAUUUCACUGAGCGGGACGAGUCUGGGCUGAAGUUUUCUGUGAUUCUGUUUGUUGCAUUGGAACGGCUGCCUUGGUAGAUUGGAGGGAGGGAGAGGGAGAUUUUAAGACUGGAAGCAGUCCGGAGCACAUGGUGUUUCUGCCUGGUUUGAUGAUGCUGUUGUAAGUCUUUGGGUCUGCAGUGAGGCUAUCCAGUGUCCUGAUUCAAAGGGCAGGAUUCAAUCCAGUUGCAGAAAGUGCAGAGGGGGAGAAACUCUCUGGGAGCUGGAGGAAGCUGCUUGCGCUGAGGUAGCCGUGCCCAGCACUGGCCCUGCAGCAUCUCCGCCCCUCAGCAAGGAGCUGCAACACCACCGCAUGCCCGUCGCGUCAGUGCAGCUGAAGUGUUCCUGGGCUCUGGGUCUGACCCACACGCACCUCAUUUAGCAUGCGCUUCGUGUCCUGCUGACCGCUCUGUGCCCCAGCUGCUGCCUCCCUCUUCCCCCUCUGCCAGCUGCCUGCUUCAUGGCAGGAGGAGAUGCUCUCUUGCUGUCACUGAACAUGUGCAGUAGGGAAAGGACGCUCAUGUACUCCACAGGCCUGCAGUGACUGACAUCCUUCCAGAAUAUCGAGGAACAGAGCCUGAGUGGCCGAGAAAUUGAGUUGGGACUCAGGAGAACAAUUUGUGACUGUCACAAACUUCCUGUGUGGCCAUUGCAGGCAGUUGGUGUUGUACAGCACAGCAGCAGCACGGUUGGAAUACAUACACGGAGGUACGUGAAAUGUAUAACGUGAACUUGAAUAUUGUUAAGAUUAUUAUUGUUAAUUAUUAGUGUUAAUAAAACAGUCAUUGUGAAUGUGUGAUCAACUUGGGGGUAAGUUUAUUCUUGCCUGUUAAGCUUUUCCCUU
rnacentral:lncRNA from 1 species